rnacentral:rRNA from 1 species
UACGUAGGGUGCAAGCGUUAUCCGGAAUUAUUGGGCGUAAAGAGCUCGUAGGCGGUUUGUCGCGUCUGCUGUGAAAUCCCGAGGCUCAACCUCGGGCCUGCAGUGGGUACGGGCAGACUAGAGUGCGGUAGGGGAGAUUGGAAUUCCUGGUGUAGCGGUGGAAUGCGCAGAUAUCAGGAGGAACACCGGUGGCGAAGGCGGGUCUCUGGGGCCGAUAUUGACGCUGAGGAGCGAAAGCGUGGGGAGCAAACAGG